GAUGAACGCUGGCGGCGUGCCUAAUACAUGCAAGUCGAGCGAACAGACGAGGAGCUUGCUCCGCUGACGUUAGCGGCGGACGGGUGAGUAACACGUGGAUAACCUACCUAUAAGACUGGGAUAACUUCGGGAAACCGGAGCUAAUACCGGAUAAUAUAUUGAACCGCAUGGUUCAAUAGUGAAAGACGGUUUUGCUGUCACUUAUAGAUGGAUCCGCGCCGCAUUAGCUAGUUGGUAAGGUAACGGCUUACCAAGGCAACGAUGCGUAGCCGACCGCAGAGGGUGAUCGGCCACACUGGAGCUGAGACGCGGUCCAGACUCCUACGGGAGGCAGCAGUAGGGAAUCUUCCGCAAUGGGCGAAAGCCUGACGGAGCAACGCCGCGUGAGUGAUGAAGGUCUUCGGAUCGUAAAGCUCUGUUAUUAGGGAAGAACAACUGUGUACGUAACUAUGCACGUCUUGACGGUACCUAAUCAGAAAGCCACGGCUAACUACGUG
rnacentral:rRNA from 1 species